rnacentral:rRNA from 1 species
UACGGAGGGAGCUAGCGUUGUUCGGAAUCACUGGGCGUAAAGCGUCUGUAGGUGGUCAAAUAAGUCAACUGUUAAAUCUUGAGGCUCAACCUCAAAAUCGCAGUCGAAACUAUUAGACUAGAGUAUAGUAGGGGUAAAGGGAAUUUCCAGUGGAGCGGUGAAAUGCGUAGAGAUUGGAAAGAACACCGAUGGCGAAGGCACUUUACUGGGCUAUUACUAACACUCAGAGACGAAAGCUAGGGUAGCAAAUGGG